UAGGAUAUUACAGUUUUUGAUGUCCCGUUGGUAGGAUAUUCUUGAUUGUACCUCAUCUAGUUUAUUGUCCAAUGAUUGCACGUUGGCGAGUAAUAUUGACAGUAACGGCAGCUUUCCCACUCGCCUUUUCUGGGUCCUGACCAGGCUCUUUGUCCUCCCCUUGCAAAUAAUGGGGAUGAUGGCACUGUCGGGUGUUUGGAGAAUGUCUUGUGCUUCUUGCUUGUUGAAGAAAAAAUCUUUGUCUAAUCUGAGGUGAGUGAUCUCUGUCCUGAUAUCCAGAAGCUCUGUGUCUAAUCUGAGGUGAGUGAUCUCUGUCCUGAUAUCCAGAAGCUCUGUGUCUAAUCUGAGGUGAGUGAUCUCUGUCCUGAUAUCCAGAAGCUCUGUGUCUAAUCUGAGGUGAGUGAUCUCUGUCCUGAUAUCCAGAAGCUCUGUGUCUAAUCUGAGGUGAGUGAUCGCUGUCCUGAUGUCCAGAAGCUCUUUAUUGUUGUAAGAUACGGUUUCAGAAACAUUAUGUACAAAAUAAAUUACAAAUAACGCAAAACCCCCCACAUAAUAGCACAAUUGGUUGGGCGCCUGUAAAACUGCUGCAAUUUCUU
ensembl:lncRNA